rnacentral:rRNA from 1 species
UACGAAGGGGGCUAGCGUUGCUCGGAAUCACUGGGCGUAAAGCGCACGUAGGCGGAUUGUUAAGUCAGGGGUGAAAUCCUGGAGCUCAACUCCAGAACUGCCUUUGGUACUGGCGAUCUUGAGUCCGGGAGAGGUGAGUGGAACUGCGAGUGUAGAGGUGAAAUUCGUAGAUAUUCGCAAGGACACCAGUGGCGAAGGCGGCUCACUGGCCCGGUACUGACGCUGAGGUGCGAAAGCGUGGGGAGCAAACAGG